UACGUAGGGGGCGAGCGUUGUCCGGAAUUAUUGGGCGUAAAGAGCUCGUAGGCGGUUCGGCAAGUCACGUGUGAAAUCUCCACGCUCAACGUGGAGGCGCCACGUGAGACUGCUGUGACUCGAGUCCGGUAGGGGAGCGUGGAAUUCCCGGUGUAGCGGUGAAAUGCGCAGAGAUCGGGAGGAACACCCGUAGCGAAGGCGGCGCUCUGGGGCCGGGUACUGACGCUGAGGAGCGAAAAGCGUGGGGAGCAAACAGG
rnacentral:rRNA from 1 species